rnacentral:rRNA from 1 species
GACGAACGCUGGCGGCGUGCCUAAUACAUGCAAGUGGGACGCAAGAGAACACACUGUGCUUGCACACCGUGUUUUCUUGAGUCGCGAACGGGUGAGUAACGCGUAGGUAACCUGCCUAUUAGCGGGGGAUAACUAUUGGAAACGAUAGCUAAUACCGCAUAAUAUUAAUUAUUGCAUGAUAAUUGAUUGAAAGAUGCAAGCGCAUCACUAGUAGAUGGACCUGCGUUGUAUUAGCUAGUUGGUAAGGUAAGAGCUUACCAAGGCGACGAUACAUAGCCGACCUGAGAGGGUGAUCGGCCACACUGGGACUGAGACACGGCCCAGACUCCUACGGGAGGCAGCAGUAGGGAAUCUUCGGCAAUGGACGAAAGUCUGACCGAGCAACGCCGCGUGAGUGAAGAAGGUUUUCGGAUCGUAAAGCUCUGUUGUAAGUCAAGAACGUGUGUGAGAGUGGAAAGUUCACACAGUGACG